UACGGGGGGGGCAAGCGUUGUUCGGAAUUACUGGGCGUAAAGGGCUCGUAGGCGGCCACCUAAGUCAGACGUGAAAUCCCCAGGCUCAACCUGGGAACUGCGUCUGAUACUGGAUGGCUUGAAUUCGGGAGAGGGAUGCAGAAUUCCAGGUGUAGCGGUGAAAUGCGUAGAUAUCUGGAGGAAUACCGGUGGCGAAGGCGGCAUCCUGGACCGACAUUGACGCUGAUGAGCGAAAGCUAGGGGAGCAAACGGG
rnacentral:rRNA from 1 species